GAUGAACGCUGGCGGCGUGCUUAACACAUGCAAGUCGAACGGAAAGGCCCAAGCUUGCUUGGGUACUCGAGUGGCGAACGGGUGAGUAACACGUGGGUGAUCUGCCCUGCACUUCGGGAUAAGCCUGGGAAACUGGGUCUAAUACCGGAUAGGACCACUUCUUGGAUGUUGUGGUGGAAAGAUUUUUCGGUGUGGGAUGAGCUCGCGGCCUAUCAGCUUGUUGGUGGGGUAAUGGCCUACCAAGGCGUCGGCGGGUAGCCGGCCUGAGAGGGUGUACGGCCCAAAUGGGGCUGAGAAACGGCCCAGACUCCUAAGGGGGGCAGCAGGGGGGGAUAUUGCACAAAGGGCGCGAGCCUGAUGGAGCGACGCCGCGGGGGGGAUGACGGCCUUCGGGUUGGAAACUCCUUUCGCUAGGGACGAAGCGUUUUGUGACGGUACCUGGAGAAGAAGCACCGGCUAACUACGUG
rnacentral:rRNA from 1 species